rnacentral:rRNA from 2 species
CCUAAGGUAGCGAAAUUCCUUGUCGGGUAAGUUCCGACCUGCACGAAUGGCGUAAUGAUGGCCAGGCUGUCUCCACCCGAGACUCAGUGAAAUUGAACUCGCUGUGAAGAUGCAGUGUACCCGCGGCAAGACGGAAAGACCCCGUGAACCUUUACUAUAGCUUGACACUGAACAUUGAGCCUUGAUGUGUAGGAUAGGUGGGAGGCUUUGAAGCGUGGACGCCAGUCUGCGUGGAGCCAACCUUGAAAUACCACCCUUUAAUGUUUGAUGUUCUAACGUUGGCCCCUUACCGGGGUUGCGGACAGUGUCUGGUGGGUAGUUUGACUGGGGCGGUCUCCUCCCAAAGCGUAACGGAGGAGCACGAAGGUUAGCUAAUCCUGGUCGGACAUCAGGAGGUUAGUGCAAUGGCAUAAGCUAGCUUGACUGCGAGCGUGACGGCGCGAGCAGGUGCGAAAGCAGGUCAUAGUGAUCCGGUGGUUCUGAAUGGAAGGGCCAUCGCUCAACGGAUAAAAGGUACUCCGGGGAUAACAGGCUGAUACCGCCCAAGAGUUCAUAUCGACGGCGGUGUUUGGCACCUCGAUGUCGGCUCAUCACAUCCUGGGGCUGAAGUAGGUCCCAAGGGUAUGGCUGUUCGCCAUUUAAAGUGGUACGCGAGCUGGGUUUAGAACGUCGUGAGACAGUUCGGUCCCUAUCUGCCGUGGGCGCUGGAGAAUUGAGGGGGGCUGCUCCUAGUACGAGAGGACCGGAGUGGACGCAUCACUGGUGUUCGGGUUGUCAUGCCAAUGGCACUGCCCGGUAGCUAAAUGCGGAAGAGAUAAGUGCUGAAAGCAUCUAAGCACGAAACUUGCCCCGAGAUGAGUUCUCCCUGAGACUUUAAGUCUCCUGAAGGAACGUUAAAGACGAUGACGUUGAUAGGCCGGGUGUGUAAGCGCAGCGAUGCGUUGAGCUAACCGGUACUAAUGAACCGUGAGGCUUAACCUU